rnacentral:snoRNA from 1 species
CUGCUGUGGUGAUGAUGAUGACAGUUGUCUUUUUCCUGAAACAGUUGAUGUGGGGUUUCAGUCACUACCUCAUCUGAACAGUCA